rnacentral:rRNA from 1 species
GACGAACGCUGGCGGCGUGCUUAACACAUGCAAGUCGAGCGGUAAGGCCCUUUCGGGGGUACGACGAGCGGCGAACGGGUGAGUAACACGUGGGUGACCUGCCCUCAGCUCUGGGAUAAGACCUGGGAAACUAGGGUCUAAUACUGGAUAUGACUCCACGGUGCAUGUCGUGGGGUGGAAAGCCUUGUGCGGCUGAGGAUGGGCCCGCGGCCUAUCAGCUUGUUGGUGGGGUGAUGGCCUACCAAGGCGACGACGGGUAGCCGGCCUGAGAGGGCGACCGGCCACACUGGGACUGAGACACGGCCCAGACUCCUACGGGAGGGCAGCAGUGGGGAAUCUUGCGCAAUGGGCGAAAGCCUGACGCAGCGACGCCGCGUGAGGGAUGACGGCCU